rnacentral:rRNA from 1 species
CCUACGGGAGGCUGCAGUGAGGAAUAUUGGUCAAUGGACGAGAGACUGAACCAGCCAAGUCGCGUGAAGGAUGACUGUACUGUGGGUUGUAAACCUCUUUUAUAAAGGAAUAAAACGAGGCACGUGUGCCUUUUUGCAUGUACUUUAUGAAUAAGCAUCGGCUAACUCCGUGCCAGCAGCCGCGGUAAUACGGAGGAUCCGAGCGUUAUCCGGAUUUAUUGGGUUUAAAGGGAGCGUAGAUGGGGUGUUAAGUCAGUUGUGAAAGUUUGCGGCUCAACCCCAAAACUGCAAUUGAUACUGGCAGUCUUGAGUACAGUUGAGGUAGGCGGAAUUCGAGGUGUAGCGGUGAAAUGCUUAGAUAUCGCGAAGAACCCCGAUUGCGAAGGCAGCUUACUAGACUCUGACUGACACUGAGGCUCGAAAGUGUGGGUAUCGAACAGGAUUAGAUACCCUAGUAGUC